CCUACGGGAGGCUGCAGUGGGGAAUAUUGCACAAUGGGGGAAACCCUGAUGCAGCAACGCCGCGUGAAGGAAGACGGGUUUCGGAUCGUAAAGUUCUGUCCUCAGUGAAGAAUAAUGACGGUAGCUAAGGAGCAAGCCACGGCUAACUACGUGCCAGCAGCCGCGGUAAUACGUAGGUGGCAAGCGUUGUCCGGAAUUACUGGGUGUAAAGGGAGCGCAGACGGGAGGGCAAGCCAGCUGUGAAAACUACGGGCUUAACCUGUGGACUGCAGUUGGAACUGCUUUUCUGGAGUGAAGUAGGGGCUGGCGGAAUUCCGGGUGUAGCGGUGAAAUGCGUAGAUAUUCGGAGGAACACCGGUGGCGAAGGCGGCCAGCUGGACUUUGACUGACGCUGAGGCUCGAAAGUGUGGGGAGCAAACAGGAUUAGAUACCCUAGUAGUC
rnacentral:rRNA from 1 species